rnacentral:rRNA from 1 species
UACGUAGGGGGCAAGCGUUGUCCGGAUUUAUUGGGCGUAAAGCGCUCGCAGGUGGUCCGAUGCGUCGUGCGUGAAAGACCCCGGCUCAACUGGGGAGGGUCGUGCGAUACGGUCGGACUGGAGGCCAGUAGGGGGAUGCGGAAUUCCGGGUGUAGUGGUGGAAUGCGUAGAGAUCCGGAAGAACACCGGUGGCGAAGGCGGCCCGCUGGGCAGUGACUGACGCUGAGGCGCGACAGCGUGGGGAGCAAACAGG